rnacentral:pre_miRNA from 1 species
CAUCUCCGCAGGCUGGCCGGCCCCCAGGCUGGGCUGGGCGAGUAUCUCUUCGAAAGACUCACCCUCAAGGUCGCCCUCAAGA